GAUGAACGCUAGCGGCAGGCCUAAUACAUGCAAGACGAACGGUAAGCAGUGUAGCAAUACAUUGCCUAGAGUGUCGUAAGGGUGCGUAACAAGUAUGCAAUCUGCCCUCAACAGGAGGAUAGCUCCCCGAAAGGGGAAUUAACACUCCAUAAUAUGUGUGAGCCGGCAUCGGCUAGACAUUAAAACUACGGGGGUUGAGGAUGAGCAUGCUUCUGAUUAGUUAGUUGGUGGUGUAACGGACCACCAAGACGAUGAUCAGUAGGGGAACUGAGAGGUUGAUCCCCCACACUGGCACUGAGAUACGGGCCAGACUCCUACGGGAGGCAGCAGUAGGGAAUAUUGGUCAAUGGAUGCAAGUCUGAACCAGCCAUGCCGCGUGCAGGAAGAAGGCCUUCUGGGUUGUAAACUGCUUUUGUCAGGGGAUAAAAUGAGCGUGCGCGCUUAAUUGAAGGUACCUGGCGAAUAAGCCACGGCUAACUACGUGCCAGCCGCCGCAGUAACAC
rnacentral:rRNA from 1 species